GCCGCAGUGGCGGAAUUGGCAGACGCGCUACGUUCAGGGCGUAGUAGGAGUAGCUCCUGUGUGGGUUCGAGUCCCUCCUGCGGCA
rnacentral:tRNA from 1 species